rnacentral:lncRNA from 1 species
CAACCCUAGCCUGAAUCUCCAUAUUUUCGAGACAUGUGGGCUUUCAUCGGUGUUGUUUCAAACACGCCUUUCGUUUUCCAUGCUAAAAAAAAUCACAAGUAGAUCGAAAAUAAAGAAAAAAUGUGAAAUCACCUUUGAAUGACUUUUUUGAUUUCUUUUUGCUAUUCAGUAUGCAGGUAUUGUGUCUAUUUUUUCUUAUUGCCCGUAAAAAACUUACAACGGCUAUUACAUGGCUUUAUAGCCGAAUGUUCCAAAGAAAAGUACAAAAAUUUUGUUUCUUCUAUUGGCUACUCCUCUGUUGCUGCCGUUGUUUUGUUUCCUUCUUGUAGGUACAGAGUCUGUUGGCAUGCGUACGGGGUGUGGGCGUGGCGUACGAGGGCUGUGGAGGUAUGGGACUACUGUAGUGGGGGUAUGGGGCCGCUGUAGUGGAGGUAUGGGGCUGCUUCAUGGUUGCGGUGCAAAACAAACAGAAGGGGGGACCUAGGGUUGCUGAAAUGUUUUGUGUGUUGGGCUAGGUGGGCUUUAGGGUUUUUGUAUUAUUUGGGUUAUUUAGUUUUGGGUUUGGGCCUUUCAAUGUGGAAAUUGGACCUGUUUUGAUUUUUGGGCUGUUUAACAUUGUAAAUGGACUUGAAUUUUGGUUAUGUGGA